rnacentral:rRNA from 1 species
AUUGAACGCUGGCGGCAGGCCUAACACAUGCAAGUCGAGCGGAUGAAGGGAGCUUGCUCCUGGAUUCAGCGGCGGACGGGUGAGUAAUGCCUAGGAAUCUGCCUGGUAGUGGGGGAUAACGUCCGGAAACGGGCGCUAAUACCGCAUACGUCCUGAGGGAGAAAGUGGGGGAUCUUCGGACCUCACGCUAUCAGAUGAGCCUAGGUCGGAUUAGCUGGUUGGUGGGGUAAAGGCCUACCAAGGCGACGAUCCGUAACUGGUCUGAGAGGAUGACCAGUCACACUGGAACUGAGACACGGUCCAGACUCCUACGGGAGGCAGCAGUGGGGAAUAUUGGACAAUGGGCGAAAGCCUGAUCCAGCCAUGCCGCGUGUGUGAAGAAGGUCUUCGGAUUGUAAAGCACUUUAAGUUGGGAGGAAGGGCAGUAAGUUAAUACCUUGCUGUUUUGACGUUACCAACAGAAUAAGCACCGGCUAACUUCGUG